rnacentral:rRNA from 1 species
AACGAACGCUGGCGGCAUGCCUAACACAUGCAAGUCGAACGAAGGCUUCGGCCUUAGUGGCGCACGGGUGCGUAACGCGUGGGAAUCUGCCCCUCGGUUCGGAAUAACAGUUAGAAAUGACUGCUAAUACCGGAUGAUGUCUUCGGUCCACAGAUUUAUCGCCGAGGGAUGAGCCCGCGUAAGAUCAGGUAGUUGGUGGGGUAAAGGCCUACCAAGCCGACGAUCUUUAGCUGGUCUGAGAGGAUGAUCAGCCACACUGGGACUGAGACACGGCCCAGACUCCUACGGGAGGCAGCAGUGGGGAAUAUUGGACAAUGGGCGAAAGCCUGAUCCAGCAAUGCCGCGUGAGCGAUGAAGGCCUUAGGGUUGUAAAGCUCUUUUACCAGGGAUGAUAAUGACAGUACCUGGAGAAUAAGCUCCGGCUAACUCCGUGCCAGCCGCCGCAGUAA